rnacentral:rRNA from 1 species
CAAGCGUCCGUUGCUCCGGUGACACGAUCAGUGAGUGAGUGUACCGAACCGCGGAGCGAUGGCCGGCGACCAGACAGACGCACUCGACGACCGCCGUAGCGAGGUUUCAGACGACGGUGGGUGGCUCCUAGUCGGUUGUCUUUUGUGGAGAAGAGUAGGGCGGCAGGCGCGCACACGCACGAGACGAGCGUGCGUACUGUACGGACGAGCACGGCCGACAGCGUACGCGACGGGGGCGGGGGCGGCCUGUAUUUUGGUGGCCGGUGCCAGCGGGCGUCGGGUUCUAUUCCCACUGCGCACCGCACUCUUCGUUCCACAGACGACGGUCCCGGCCUUACCUGCCUCCAUGCAGCCGCGGCGGCGGACUCGGCCGGUAGCGCGGCCUGCGGCAGUAGUUGGAGCUCGAGCCGCUGGGCUGGUACAUGCUCCGCAAGACCUCCCUCCAGCCCCUCGCCCGCCGCCACCGCUAGGGCCCCACCAGCCCCUACUCGAUGAAGAGGUUACGGGUCUCGGAGACGACCAAGGAGCUGGGCCUCAAGCUCGCGCUCCAGGCGGCGCAGGUGGCGGAGCAGCCGUUGCGGCGGCAGCUGCUGCCGAUGGUGGAGCACCAGCCGUGGCCGCGGUGGGUCGAGAAGGUCCGCCGGUACAUGCGGGACAGAGGGCGGCCGCGGGUUACCGGGCAGCCGCAGCAGAGCGGCCGCGGGAUGAUGAGCAGCAUGGGCGGCGUCUGCCUGGACGACGAGAGCCCCAAGAUGGCCACCCGGCCGCUGCGGUUGCGCAAGCUGCCGCUGCCGGUGUAGCUCGACCAGACGAGCGGGUUGUUGGGCCUGCCGCGGUAGGCGCUCCGGCAGGACUCGAGGCUCAGGCCGUUCCGCUAGGUGCUGGACCAUAUGAUGACUGGAGUCAUGUGCGGGUAGUGGCCGCGGCGGCGGGUGCUGUAGUACGAGAAGUGGUACAGGUUCCAGUGACCGGUGCGGCCGCGGUCCGAGCCCACCCGCGAGCAGUUCCUGGCGCUGCACCGGUUCUUCUACCAGAUGAAGCACCUGGCCUCGUGGUAGCCGCACAGGUUCCUGAGCGUCGAGGCGCCGCGGUUCUAGGAGCGGCAGCAGAGGCUGCGGAUGCCUGGGCUGCUCCUCCUGCUGUGCGCCGAGGCCGAGAAGCUGAAGCGCGCGGCAGCGUACCUCCUCGCGACCGCCCGGGACGCGCGGCGGCACCGCCGGUGGCCGCGGAAGUCGGAGGGCCUCCUCUGGCGGCCGGUGACGUUGAAGUCGUCCGUUUGGCACCGUCGAAUGGGGCGCAAGCGCACCGACGCGACGCUCUUCCUACCGCACCUCCUGACGCGGCUCAAGGAGGCGCCGGUGCCGUAGCACCGCGCCCCUCCCCUCGUCAAGCCCCCUCUGCGGUCCACGCAGUCCCAGUUGUACGACCUGUCCCUGCCACACAAGCUGCACGAGUAUCUGGCGGAGAAGAGGUAUUGUACUAAUGGUACUCCUACGUUUCGGUCUCGAUAGUACGCUUGUCUUACGAAGCCUAAUUAAGCCUCUUGUUUUGCUUUUGCUUACCUCACCUAAAGCUACCAGAGUGGGCGAAUAUUAGAGAGACAUAUACCUUGCUGACCACGCUCAAAACUUCAAAUUUUAAAAGGAACUCCGAAUUGAGGGAUUUUUACAAAACGAUGAGGGAGGCAGACUAUAAUUGACAACGAUUUUACUCACAUAGAUGUGUGACUUUGUGCAGAUCUAUGUGAGUAAUUCUUAUUCGAGCGUAAGAUUGAACUAGGGAUUUUAAAUUGAUGAAAAGAAGUAAUUGACCAACAUCUAGGAGUAAAGGAAAACGCUUGAAUUUGAGGAAAAUUUGAUAAAAAACUGUAAUUUCAAGUUUGCAAACGGCAGUUGCUACUUUUGUAAAUUAUGAUAAAUUAUGAAGAUAAAUUAAAAAAAUCUUUUAUGCAUGGUUCGUGUUAUCUA